rnacentral:rRNA from 1 species
GUGUCAGCAGCCGCGGUAAUACAGAGGUCCCGAGCGUUGUUCGGAUUCACUGGGCGUAAAGGGUGCGUAGGUGGUUGAGCAAGUCUGAUGUGAAAGCCCCGGGCCCAACCCGGGAAUGGCAUCGGAAACUGCCCGGCUAGGAGGGUUGGAGGGGGGACUGGAAUUCCCGGUGUAGCAGUGAAAUGCGUAGAUAUCGGGAGGAACGCCAGUGGCGAAGGCGAGUCCCUGGACAACACCUGACACUGAGGCACGAAAGCUUGGGGAGCAAACAGGAUUAGAUACCCCUGUAGUCC